GUGGGGAAUAUUGGACAAUGGGCGAAAGCCUGAUCCAGCCAUGCCGCGUGUGUGAAGAAGGUCUUCGGAUUGUAAAGCACUUUAAGUUGGGAGGAAGGGCAGUAAGUUAAUACCUUGCUGUUUUGACGUUACCGACAGAAUAAGCACCGGCUAACUUCGUGCCAGCAGCCGCGGUAAUACGAAGGGUGCAAGCGUUAAUCGGAAUUACUGGGCGUAAAGCGCGCGUAGGUGGUUUUGUAAGUUGGAGGUGAAAUCCCCGGGCUCAACCUGGGAACUACCUCCAAAACUGCAUGACUAGAGUACGGUAGAGGGUAGUGGAAUUUCCUGUGUAGCGGUGAAAUGCGUAGAUAUAGGAAGGAACACCAGUGGCGAAGGCGACUACCUGGACUGAUACUGACACUGAGGUGCGAAAGCGUGGGGAGCAAACAGGAUUAGAAACCCCUGUAGUCC
rnacentral:rRNA from 1 species